UACGUAGGGUGCAAGCGUUGUCCGGAAUUAUUGGGCGUAAAGAGCUCGUAGGCGGUUUGUCGCGUCGAAUGUGAAAACCCGGGGCUCAACCCCGGGCCUGCAUUCGAUACGGGCGGACUAGAGUUCGGUAGGGGAGUCUGGAAUUCCUGGUGUAGCGGUGAAAUGUGCAGAUAUCAGGAAGAACACCAGUGGCGAAGGCGGCCCGCUGGGCAGUGGCUGACGCUGAGGCGCGACAGCGUGGGGAGCAAACAGG
rnacentral:rRNA from 1 species